CCCAGAUGAUGAACACUUAAUAAAUGGCUAUGGAUUAUUAUCCAUAUGAUGCUUUUUUGUCAUAGUUACUCUGAUGGGA
rnacentral:snoRNA from 1 species